GACGAACGCUGGCGGCGUGCUUAACACAUGCAAGUCGAACGGGAGUAUUGAAGAAGCUUGCUUUAGAGAUACUUUAGUGGCGGACGGGUGAGUAACGCGUGAGGAGCUGUCCGAUGCAGGGGGACAACAGUUGGAAACGACUGCUAAUACCCCAUAAGCCGAGAGGUAAAAGGAUUUAUCCGGCAAUGGAGGUACUCGCGUCCUAUCAGCUAGUAGGUGAGGUAACGGCUCACCUAGGCGAAGACGGGUAGCCGGCCUGAGAGGGCGAACGGCCACGACUGGAACUGAGAUACGGUCCAGACUCCUACGGGAGGCAGCAGUGGGGAAUAUUGGGCAAUGGGGGGAACCCUGACCCAGCGACGCCGCGUGGGUGAAGAAAUCCUUCGGGAUGUAAAGCCCUGUUGUAUGGGAAGAGCGGAAGACGGUACCAUACGAGGAAGCCCCGGCAAACUACGUG
rnacentral:rRNA from 1 species